ensembl:snoRNA SNORD116 Small nucleolar RNA SNORD116
GGAUCGAUGAUGACUCAAACAAAAGCACUCCUUGGGAAGCUGAACAAAAUGAGUGAAAACUCACUAUGGCCAUUCUCAUCGUGACUGAGGUCC